AGAGGAGCUUGCUCUUCUUGGAUGAGUUGCGAACGGGUGAGUAACGCGUAGGUAACCUGCCUUGUAGCGGGGGAUAACUAUUGGAAACGAUGGCUAAUACCGCAUAACAAUGGAUGACACAUGUCAUUUAUUUGAAAGGGGCAAUUGCUCCACUACAAGAUGGACCUGCGUUGUAUUAGCUAGUAGGUGAGGUAAUGGCUCACCUAGGCGACGAUACAUAGCCGACCUGAGAGGGUGAUCGGCCACACUGGGACUGAGACACGGCCCAGACUCCUACGGGAGGCAGCAGUAGGGAAUCUUCGGCAAUGGGGGCAACCCUGACCGAGCAACGCCGCGUGAGUGAAGAAGGUUUUCGGAUCGUAAAGCUCUGUUGUAAGUCAAGAACGGGUGUGAGAGUGGAAAGUUCACACUGUGACGGUCGCUUACCAGAAAGGGACGGCUAACUACGUGCCAGCAGCCGCGGUAAUACGUAGGUCCCGAGCGUUGUCCGGAUUUAUUGGGCGUAAAGCGAGCGCAGGCGGUUUGAUAAGUCUGAAGUUAAAGGCUGUGGCUCAACCAUAGUUCGCUUUGGAAACUGUCAAACUUGAGUGCAGAAGGGGAGAGUGGAAUUCCAUGUGUAGCGGUGAAAUGCGUAGAUAUAUGGAGGAACACCGGUGGCGAAAGCGGCUCUCUGGUCUGUAACUGACGCUGAGGCUCGAAAGCGUGGGGAGCGAACAGGAUUAGAUACCCUGGUAGUCCACGCCGUAACGAUGAGUGCUAGGUGUUGGAUCCUUUCCGGGAUUCAGUGCCGCAGCUAACGCAUUAAGCACUCCGCCUGGGGAGUACGACCGCAAGGUUGAAACUCAGAGGAAUUGACGGGGGCCCGCACAAGCGGUGGAGCAUGUGGUUUAAUUCGAAGCAACGCGAAGAACCUUACCAGGUCUUGACAUCCCGAUGCUAUUUCUAGAGAUAGAAAGUUACUUCGGUACAUCGGUGACAGGUGGUGCAUGGUUGUCGUCAGCUCGUGUCGUGAGAUGUUGGGUUAAGUCCCGCAACGAGCGCAACCCCUAUUGUUAGUUGCCAUCAUUCAGUUGGGCACUCUAGCGAGACUGCCGGUAAUAAACCGGAGGAAGGUGGGGAUGACGUCAAAUCAUCAUGCCCCUUAUGACCUGGGCUACACACGUGCUACAAUGGUUGGUACAACGAGUUGCGAGUCGGUGACGGCGAGCUAAUCUCUUAAAGCCAAUCUCAGUUCGGAUUGUAGGCUGCAACUCGCCUACAUGAAGUCGGAAUCGCUAGUAAUCGCGGAUCAGCACGCCGCGGUGAAUACGUUCCCGGGCCUUGUACACACCGCCCGUCACACCACGAGAGUUUGUAACACCCGAAGUCGGUGAGGUAACCUUUUGGAGCCAGCCGCCUAAGGUGGGACAGAUGAUGGGGGAAGUCGUAUCAAG
rnacentral:rRNA from 1 species